AUUGAACGCUGGCGGCAUGCUUUACACAUGCAAGUCGAACGGUAACAGGUUAAGCUGACGAGUGGCGAACGGGUGAGUAAUGCAUCGGAACGUGCCCGGUCGUGGGGGAUAACGCAGCGAAAGCUGCGCUAAUACCGCAUACGAUCUGAGGAUGAAAGCGGGGGACCGUAAGGCCUCGCGCGAUCGGAGCGGCCGAUGUCAGAUUAGGUAGUUGGUGGGGUAAAGGCUCACCAAGCCGACGAUCUGUAGCUGGUCUGAGAGGACGACCAGCCACACCGGAACUGAGACACGGUCCGGACUCCUACGGGAGGCAGCAGUGGGGAAUAUUGGACAAUGGGGGCAACCCUGAUCCAGCGACGCCGCGUGGGUGAAGAAGGCCUGCGGGUUGUAAAGCCCUUUCGGUGGGGAUAACAAGUCUUGGUCUAACACACCAGGAUCUUGAUCUAACCCAAGAAAGAAGCACCGGCUAACUCUGUGCCAGCCGCCGCGGUAA
rnacentral:rRNA from 1 species